rnacentral:rRNA from 1 species
AUUGAACGCUGGCGGCAGGCCUAACACAUGCAAGUCGAACGGUAGCACAGAGAGCUUGCUCUCGGGUGACGAGCGGCGGACGGGUGAGUAACGUCUGGGAAACUGCCCGAUGGAGGGGGAUAACUACUGGAAACGGUAGCUAAUACCGCAUAACGUCGCAAGACCAAAGUGGGGGACCUUCGGGCCUCACACCAUCGGAUGUGCCCAGAUGGGAUUAGCUAGUAGGUGGGGUAAUGGCUCACCUAGGCGACGAUCCCUAGCUGGUCUGAGAGGAUGACCAGCCACACUGGAACUGAGACACGGUCCAGACUCCGACGGGAGGCAGCAGUGGGGAAUAUUGCACAAUGGGCGCAAGCCUGAUGCAGCCAUGCCGCGUGUAUGAAGAAGGCCUUCGGGUUGUAAAGUACUUUCAGCGGGGAGGAAGGCGGUGAAGUUAAUAGCUUCACCGAUUGACGUUACCCGCAGAAGAAGCACCGGCUAACUACGUGCCAGCAGCCGCCGUAA